GACGAACGCUGGCGGCGUGCUUAACACAUGCAAGUCGAACGCUGAAGACCUGGAUUUUGUUGAGUUGGGUGAGUGGCUAACGGGUUAGUAACACGUGAGUAACCUUCCCUCUUCUUUUGGAUAACGCCCUGAAAAGGGUUCUAAUACUGUAUAUUCCCUGCUCUUCGCAUGGGGGUUGGUGGUUCGGUUUGUUCUGGUGGGUGAUGGGCUCGCGCCCUAUCGGCUUGUUGGUGGGGUGAUGGCCUACCAAGGCUUUGACGGGUAGCCGGCCUGGAAGGGUGACCGGUGAAAUGGGAACAGAGCCAGGGUCCAGACUACUACGGGAGUGAGCAGUAGGGAAGAUUGGACAAUGGGCGAAAGCAUGAAGAAGGGAUGCGGCAUGAGGGAUGGAGGGUUUAGGGUUGUAAACCUCGGGCGCGAAAGGUCAAGCGGCAACUGUGGGUUGUGGUGAGGGUAGUGGAUAAAGAAGAGCCGGCUAACUACGUG
rnacentral:rRNA from 1 species